UCACACCCCAUCAGCGACAAGUGCUGCCCCCACCCCCGCCCCCUCACAUCUCACUAGCAACAAGUGCUGCAAACCAACACCCACCGGUGCUGCCGAUGGCGGCGGCAAGUGAUGGAGACGCGCAGCGGCCGACGUUGGGGCGUUGCAACCACGGCGACAAGUGAUGGAGAUCCAGCCUUUUGUUUUUGGAAGCAGGCCCAUUUUUUCUGCUAACACCUUCGUUUUUUGCUGGAACAGUCUUUUUUUUCUACCAUGUGUUUUGCUUUUUGUUGGAACCAACUUCAAGCCGGCAUGGGGAAAAAGCUUCCACCCUAGGGAGAAAAAGCUUCAACCGGCUGGAUGAAAAGCUUCAGGUGCCAUGAGAAAAAGCUUCCAUCGUAGGAAAACAGCUUCAUUGGUGGAAAAAGCUUCAGCCGGUGAUUUAAUUUGCUGGAACUCAUUGAUGUAUUUGCUGGAACCAAUUUUCUUCAUGAGCGAUGGCGAGCCGGUGAGCGGCGGCCACAGAGCUUGAAGCGGGAGGCCAUGGAAGGGCGACGAGGAAGCAGGAGGGCUCGGGAAAACUGUCGAAAGGAAGGAGACAAGCAGGCGGGAGGAGAGGAGAUAGAAUCGUGUGGUCUGGAACACACGCAUCAUGCGGCUGGGGGGCGACCGGCCCAAAGUUUGGGCCGGCGCACCGGCGCCUAUCGCUCCCCUUUCACAUUUCAUUGUUGGCUUUUCCAACAAAAAGUAAUUUCACAUUGCAAAAACCCAGAAAACACCAUCUUCAGCACACAAUUGAACUCCCCAUGAGGCAGAAACCUAAAAGCUAAUAAAAAAACUUUCAAAAUAAGGAUUGUACAUGGUAUCUGUUGUACAUACCUACUGUAGAUGCCGCAGAUGUAGUACCCGUACAGCUAACCGGACUCCUGGGAAUGAAGGCUGCAGUCGUGGAAACCAGCGUGUUCGCCAUGUCCGGCCGGAACAAGCUACGCGGCUGCGCCCAGCGCCACACAUCUCAUGCAGCAGCAGCAGCACUCGAUGCAAAAUCCCGGAGACGGCGUUGUACCAGGCGGCGGCCCAGUGUGCGUAUCCAAAAACCACAAACGAUGAGAUCCUUGAGACAGCGCCAAAUACACGGGCAGUCAUAGAACUUGCAUGCGACGGUC
rnacentral:rRNA from 1 species